UACUAAACACAGUUCCUUACGAAAGUGAAGGCAACUAGUACUAGUUAACUGCUUGACAGCCUGCCCAGGAACGAUGCGGUGGUUGAACUAUGCUCUGGUGAAUUCAAUAUGGCUUAAUGUCGUGAUCCGGAGUGAAAACUACCAACACCACCACCAUACUAAACACAUCCACUAUAUUUAUGAAUAAUUUUACGUUCAGUAAAAGGAAGCAGACAGAUAUAUCCAUUUUUAUUAUACAUUGUAGGAGAUAAAUUACAAAGACGGUUUAGUAAUCCACUUGGUGCUGCGGCGGACAUGGCAUUAGCCAGUGCUUUGGCUGGAUCUGGGGCACCCGGAGGCGGGUUAGGGGGUGCAAUGGGAGGUCCUCCAGCGGGUCCACAAAGAGGAGGCCCGGGUCCUAGGAGACGCCCUAGUCAAAGAGGCGCUGGUGGGCGAGGAAUAUAACUUUCUAAAUAGGGCUUAAACAUUUUUGUACAAACGCAUAAUCAAAUGUUUAUAAAAGAGAGAUUUUUAUAAUAAAAGCUUUAAAGUUAUAUAUACGUAUUUCGCUAUAAAAUGUUUAUUGUCGAAUUAGAUUGUCAUAGAGCAUUUUUACAUAGUUUUAUCUGUGAAUAGAGCAUUGCUUAAGGGCGUUUACAUUUUAAAUUAUGUAACUUGGUCUUUUGAAGUUUGAUGUUAGCGUAUGAUACAAAACCUUUUUGUAUUGCAACAUAUAUAUAUAUUUUUUUUCCGUUGAAUAUCUAUGAUUUUCUAUUUCUGGAUAAAGCAUGGAGUAAAAAAAAAGUCGCCCUUCGAGAAAUUAUCCACCUUAGCUGGUAAACUAACAACAUAAUUAAAAGAUAUAUAACUGUAAUAUGAUGUUUUCGGAUAUGUAGUAUCUUAAAACGGUGCAUUUGUUCUUAAAUUUUGUUGUAGAUUUAACCUUUAAAACUAAUUGCACAUUUAAACUCUCAGUCUUAAAUACAUUCUGUGAAAGGAGAUGAUCUUUGAAAGUUUUAAUUUGAGUUUUUUUCUUUGUGAUUUUUGUAAGUAUUUUUUCGACUUGAACUUUUCCGACAUGAUUGUAUGUUUCAUAUCACGUGAUUUCAGUUUCACAGAAACAUUAUUUGUUUUGACGACAUUAAGUUACAUGUAAGUCACGUGUAAAUCACGUGUACCGCUGUCUAUAUCACUUGCAUAUUAUGUGUUAUGCUUGCUAGUAAAAUAUGCCCUGUGUUUUCUAGGUAUUGUAGGCGCCACGGCAAUACAAUCGUUACGGUGAUUCCCGCCAUUUACAAAUGUCUAAUAAAUGUAUGUUAAAAUGUAUUAUUUAUUUUGUUCAAUAAAAUCAAUUAAUAUGAUAAA